rnacentral:rRNA from 1 species
CCUACGGGACGCAGCAGUGGGGGAUAUUGCACAAUGGGGGGAACCCUGAUGCAGCGACGCCGCGUGGGUGAAGGAGCGUUUCGGCGCGUAAAGCCCUAUCGGCAGGGAAGAAGGAGGACGGUACCUGACUAAGAAGCCCCGGCUAACUACGUGCCAGCAGCCGCGGUAAUACGGAGGAUGCGAGCGUUAUCCGGAUUUAUUGGGUUUAAAGGGUGCGUAGGCGGGCUGUUAAGUCAGCGGUAAAAGCCCGGGGCUCAACCCCGGCGAGCCGUUGAAACUGGCUGUCUUGAGAUGUCGAGAGGUAU